rnacentral:rRNA from 1 species
UACGUAGGUGACAAGCGUUGUCCGGAUUUACUGGGCGUAAAGAGCGCGCAGGCGGUCGUUCAAGUCGAGUGUGAAAGCCCCCGGCUCAACUGGGGAGGGUCAUUCGAUACUGAUCGACUCGAAGGCAGGAGAGGGAAGUGGAAUUCCCGGUGUAGUGGUGAAAUGCGCAGAGAUCGGGAGGAACACCAAUGGCGAAAGCAGGUAACUGGACCAUUACUGACACUCAGCUGCGAAAGCUAGGGGAGCAAACAGG